AAGGUAGAGGCGCUAUACUUAAUAGUAUUUGUAAAUGGCUGGCGAGCGACGAUUUACAAAGAAAGGAAUUAUAGCCGAAGAAAUUUCGUAGGCAUAUGAAAUUUCUGGACUUAUGCAAAAUAUGUAUAAGGCUGUCACUUUUCAAAAGUGUUGAGCUACAA
rnacentral:ncRNA from 1 species